rnacentral:rRNA from 1 species
CAAAAGCGUAUAUUAAAGUUGUUGCAGUUAAAAAGCUCGUAGUUGAACCUUGGGCUUGGCUGGCCGGUCCAUCUUUUUUGAUGCGUACUGGACCCAGCCGAGCCUUUCCUUCUGGCUAGCCUUUUGGCGAACCAGGACUUUUACUUUGAAAAAAUUAGAGUGUUCAAAGCAGGCCUUUGCUCGAAUAUAUUAGCAUGGAAUAAUAGAAUAGGACGUUAUGGUUCUAUUUUGUUGGUUUCUAGGACCAUCGUAAUGAUUAAUAGGGACGGUCGGGGGUAUCAGUAUUCAGUUGUCAGAGGUGAAAUUCUUGGAUUUAUGAAAGAUGAACAACUGCGAAAGCAUUUACCAAGGAUGUUUUCAUUAA